GACGAACGCUGGCGGCGUGCUUAACACAUGCAAGUCGAACGCGCCUGUCCUCUGGGUUUCUGGGGGGUGGGUGAGUGGCGAACGGGUGAGUAACACGUGAGUAACCUGCCCCCUUCUUCGGGAUAACGGUCUGAAAGGGCUGCUAAUACCGGGUAUUCACUGGUCUCCGCAUGGGGUCUGGUGGAAAGGUUUUUUUCUGGUUGGGGAUGGGCUCGCGGCCUAUCAGCUUGUUGGUGGGGUGAUGGCCCACCAAGGCUUUGACGGGUAGCCGGCCUGAGAGGGUGACCGGUCACAUUGGGACUGAGAUACGGCCCAGACUCCUACGGGAGGCAGCAGUGGGGAAUAAUGCACAAUGGGCGCAAGCCUGAUGCAGCGACGCCGCGUGAGGGAUGGAGGCCUUCGGGUUGUGAACCUCUUUCGCCCGUGGUCAAGCCGCGACGUGGGUCGUGGUGAGGGUAGUGGGUAAAGAAGCGCCGGCUAACUACGUG
rnacentral:rRNA from 1 species